rnacentral:lncRNA from 1 species
GCUACCCCUUUCUCUUUCUGAUCUAAUCAGUUCAGCUUCAACCUUCAGAGCCCUGUCCAGUACAUCCCUGUAGCUAUUAAAAAUUAGAACUGACAACCGGGAUCGAAUCCCGUAUCUCAAGCCUUGCUCAAAUCUGUUGGCCUUGCUUUGAUCAUCCUCCAUAAGUCGAGGACAGAACCGGCCUAAUUCAUUAAACUUAUUGGCAUAUUCCAGCACCGUCAUAUUCUCUGACUGCCUUAAGGAUAGGAACUCAUUCUCC